GCCUCGGUGGUGUAGUGGUGGCACGCACUCUCAGUACGGACGAAACGCGAAUUCGACUCCCGUCUGAGGUG